CGGAGAAUUCGCCCACAUCAAACAUGGCUACCUUGCACGUGUGGUUUUUUCGACAAGUGAGAGUAUACCAGCCUGUUUUUCAUACUAAAAAAGGAAGGUGAAUACAAUGUCAUUACAUCCUCACAUCUUCAGCAAGUCAUGGAGCCAACAAGCCUUCGUGUGUGAGCAUGCAUAGUCCAAGACCUCAUGAGAUACUUCCCACCAGUGAUUCAUCAACAAGUGGUCAUGUUCACCUCUGCAUGCAACGCCAGUGUGUUCAAACAUUUUUGCUGUAUGAAGUUUUCCUGUGUGUACUCUGACAAUGCUCUUCACCUGACAGGAGUCCAGCAAAACACUAACUUGCUACAGAAUACGCUACCAUGGAUUGUUAUGUUAGUGACAAUGCUUGUGACAUCUGUAAGCUUCAAGGACUUGACCAUUUCCUUCAGUGUUUUUGGCUCCAUCCACAACCACACAUGUCGUGAACAUGUCAAAUGAGGAACAGACUUAGCUGUGAUUCGUUUUGAUCGAUGGACCAGAUGGAGUAUGCAGUGUAAGAGACUGAUGAAAACCCAGAGGGUCAACCAUGGACUGCCUUGUUCAAGAGACUGCUGGAAUCAAGUACUCCCCAAUCACCGACUCAGGUCUGUCAUCUCAUCAGGCUCUGCUGCCUUCAUCAUGUGGAAGUUUGCUGAUACAUCACUCAAAACAUUGCACAGGACAAGAGAUACUGACUAUGGUGGAUGGUAUAGACUGUCUGACUCAUCCAGCCAUGAAUGACUGUAACUGCUUAGUUGUGUUCCUGAUUCAUUUUGAACUCUGUGGAUAUGCAUCUUGUCUGAACAUUUUACAGACUGAACCAUACAUGUGCACUCCAAGAAGCUACAAGCUAAUCCUGCAAGAAGUGUACUCCUACAUCUCCCGAUGCUCUCCAAAUGUUGGAUUGUGUUCCAGAGUGUUGCUGCUCUGACCUUUAUUGCCAAGAACUUUUACGGCUAAAGGACUUGCUACAGAGACAGCCAUCAACUAAGGAAAACUGAGUUUAGAAAAUUGGGUUGGGUUGUAACACAGUGGCAUAGCUUCACCUUUUUUCAGCGCAAGUAAAGAUUUUGCUUGCAGAACAUAAUAAAUGUAUUCAUUUACCCAUCUCAAAGAUGGCAAAAAAGUUCCUGUUUAUCUUGAAGUUUAAAAAGUACACACAAGAGCUGAUACUAAUAAGCUGCUGGCUUGCAAUCAAAUUGCAUUUGUGAUUUGAGCUUAAAUUCCAGAAUCAACAUCGUUGAUUGUCCCUCAAGUUGCCUUCUUGACAUUGCAUGGACACCUUCAAAGCUAUGCCACUGAAACAGACAGAUACAUGGGUUGAGGGUGGGACUUUUGGUUCAUAUAUCUUAAUUGCUAUACAAAGUCCAUUUUGAUUGCUUAGCUCUGAAAGGUUGGGGCAUUAUUUUUAUAAUCAAAGUGGCCUGAAAAAGUGUGACUUUAAAGUCAACCAUCUGCACACUCUGACAAAAAUUGCAUCCCUGUGAAGUUAUGGGCACUGUACCAUUUUUUAGCACAGUUUACAAUAACUGAAGAAAUACAAAUUAAACUUUUACUUAUCUCUUUAAUAACCUUUGGACACCACCUCUCAUUGUUCAGAAUGGACUUUGUAUUUAAAGAGUUUAUUUCCAAGACGUGAUUUACACCAUUUUAUUCUCUUUUAGAAUCCUGCUCUCUCCUGGCUGCUGAAAAGCAAUUUUGUUGGCUGUUAUAUUCUUCAACACAACUAGAAAUCAAUAAGUCAAAAAAUGAAGUUGAAAAAGAGCUGCUAUAUUAUUUUUAUUCUUUGAAGUUCAAAACCGUUCAAAUUUUCACUUUUUUUAAAUGUAUAUGUCACGUUUUGGAAACGAGCUCUUCAUUUGUAACCAGUCCUCACAGUCUAUGAAAAUUGGAGCAAAAGAAAGAAAGAAAAAAAACAAAGAACUUUGUCCUGAAGGAUGUAUCAUAAAGAACAAGCUAGGUAUCUGAAAAAUUUCACACUUUGUCUGAAAUCAAACUUUUGAAACUGUGGGAACAUUGUAUAAAUGUGCGUGGAAAGACAUGAGAGCAUUGAAUGUACGUGAAGUACAGAAACAUCCAUUGGGUGUAAUUUGCAGACGUACCACUCCUGAUCCUUGUGUACAAAAAACUGGAUAUAUUCCCAGCUUGAAAUACAGCUUGAAACAGUUGACUUCCAAAUGAUCUGAAUGAAUUCACACUUGUUUUUGUCCAUUUGACCUAAAGCACACUUUAAAAACUAAAUAUCAUUGUUGAGUGAUGUGAGGGCUGGUUACACCAAUAAUUUAAUUUUUAUUACAAUAUUCAAUGCCUGAAUGGUAAAUGUUUUCAAGCCAGGUGCAUGAUGGGUAAAUGAUGUCACUCCACUGUGAAUACAGUUGAAGCAAAAUAUCGUCUAAUGGAAAGUCGCUUGAAAUUUAACAUGUUGCGCGGGCUUUUUUUCGGACAUAGGCAAUUCAUCUCAUAAUGAACCAAGCAUUCAAAUCAUCAAGUUCAGUAACUGAAAAUUGUCAAAUUUGCGUUAUGUUCGACCAAUAAAUAUCAAUUUGUCAAUGCUAUUGCCAUUCAGUUUAAGACAUUCGUCUUGGUCAGUGCAAAAUAUAUGCAAUCAUUUUGAUAGGCGUUGAGCUCUUACUUUGCUACAUGAAUGUUCUUAUCUUCAAAUAAUAGAUUCCUAGGUUUUUACCCAUCCUCCACCUGGUUUGAACUGUAUAAUCAGCACUGAUGUUAAGAAAUGAGAGGAUUUGAAGGAUAGAAUGUAAGAUGGCUAUUGCAGACAUUUAGGCUGAUCACAUUUAGCGACCGUUCAUUUCCAUCAGAUCAUUCAACCUGUGCAAAACAAGCAUGGCUAUAUAUUUAUCACAAGCUGCUACAUGUAGUUUUAAAAACACAAGCUGCUACAUGGAGUUUUAAAAACACAAGCUGCAACAUGGAGUUAUGAAAACUGGCUCUUUCUCUUUGACACUGCAUUGAUGAGUUCCAAAUUCUGCAAAUUUUGGUGAUUUUGCAGACUUGAAGCUUUGCCUAAUUCAAAAAUGGCGUUUAAAAAAAAUACAGCGUAUGCAAAUUCUGGUCAUAGUAAGCGCAAGCACAGUUGUACCUCAGUGCUGAUUAUACAUAUACUUGCAACAUUUAUUUUGGAAAAAUAGUUUAACAAUUUUUGCAUUGUUGUCUUUUACCAUCAGGCACUGUGAAUAAAAACCAAUAAAGCCCAGCCACAUGCAGGCCCUCCUGGUGCGUGCACGUGUGUCCCCUGCCCACAGACGCUGACAGGUUGGUGGUUGCCCGCUAUCUGCAUCGGCUUGUGAAUUGACUGUUGGUGAUGUAUGCAGCUCCCCUCGAAAUCUUGCACCCUGGGUGAUUGUGGAUACCUCGGAAGACUGCAACAUGGUAAGGAUCCUUUAAACUUUGGCAAUUGGUUAGUUUGUCUACAAAGCAGAUGUACAUGUCCACUACUCCAGGAAUGGCAACUCAAGAGAACACUUCUGUGUCUAACUCCGCCAUUGCUCACUUGAAACAUGUCAAGAGUUCUCAGCCAUCAUUGCCAGUGAUCCGAAAAAAUAAUGAAAUAUUCAGCAUCAGUUACUUGUUGUGGGCUUUCUAGGAUAUUUGACAGUGUCGUAUGAUGUUUGAACAAUUGUUUGGCCACAAUUGUCUUGGUAAUUUCCACAGUAUAACUCUGAAAUUCUAGUUUUGCAUUUGCUCAUUUCACCUCAAAGGGAGGUGUUUUCACCAAAUGAUGUCAUUUAAUAAGAUGGUGCAAGCUUCUCCAAAAAUUACAAUCGCGUCUGAAUUGUAUAUUCAUGGUUUUGGUAGCAUACACACAUUCUAAAUUUGUCGUAUUUGGAACUUUUUAACUGUCGGAAUUUACAGUUAGUAAACUGCAAACAAUUAAAUUUGAAGUUCACAGUAGUUGACACCAAAAAAAAUAUUGAAUUAACAAAAUCGCAUCCUGGUUUUUGAGAGGACAAAAAAUUCUAAAUAUGACUGAAUUUCUAUAAUGAAAAAAAUAAGAAAGUCUAAAGAUACUUCUGGACAUUUCUGUGAAACAAAAUUCAAAUUUUUAAGUGUCAUCAUCUUUAUGCGUACAUGUAGGGGUUUUUGCAUCAAAAACUAAAGAUAUUUGUAAAAAAGUAAACCAAAAACUGGUAGCCAAACUCUUCAAAACUGUAGUAGAGAAAUGCCUGGUGUGCAGAGAGGGAGAACCAUGCUGUUAGAUUGCUGGGUGGAUGAUGUAUCCAGGCCAUUCACUCACAUCAUAGAGGGGCAAAAAACACUCGCUCUGAAUUUGUCCAAAGAAGGGAGAAAACAAAACAUGUUUGGGAGAAACUACCUUAAAUAUGAUGGAAAGUAUACUGUACAAACUGGAGUCAAGUCUGCCAGAGAUUCACUUAACAAGGGAGAUUUUCAUUUCACAUUUCCAAGGGAAAUAUGGUUGCAAACAACCAGACGUUUGUUUCUACGUUGUGAAAUUCUUUGAAAUUACAUGUAAGUAUCCUUGCUAGCAAGGAUGAAAAACUCACUUGACGGACUCCACAAUUAAAAAAAAAUAAGAAUUGGCGCUUGCAGAAUGAGCUAAAUUCCAUCCAGAAAUUGUGUAGAUAUUUCUCCCAUUCAUCAACUCCCCAAAAGAAAAAACCUUAGCGGCAAAUUAAACAUGGGACAAAUCGAAAAUGGGUGUGAGCCCCUCGAUCAAUUAAGAGUGAAUGGCCUGGUAGAUUGAGUACCAAUUUGCCUCUCAGUAUCCUAAACAGAAACUGUGACAUCAGACACGGGGAGCCAGUCCUGUCAACAACUUCCAUGGUAAGUUUAAUUGAAGUUUGUAGAAUGAAUUCAUGCACUGGUACAUCCUCAUGUGUUGCUUGUUAAACCCAAAUGUGUAUCUCAUGGCUUAGGAGUAUGGUGUAGUCUGCAUUAAACAAGGCAGUAAUGUACAGAUGGUCUUCAGUCUAUGGCAAUACACAGUGGUGUAGCUAAUGGCCACGGGGGAGGGAGGGGACCAGACUAUCAGUAAUUGGUUGAUGUGCUAGUUGAUCAACCACAAUAGGAGACAGGCAGUCAGUGGUCCACUAAAUCCACACGUCAGUCAACCAAUCCUGCCAAAGCUGCAUGAGCAUGUGGAAAUAUUAAACAUAACAGUUGUUCACACAACUCUAAAAUGAUGACAGGAUAAAGAUGAAAAGUCACUUGAGUUUGCUAUACGUACGUUGCAGAAAAAAACAAUCACUUGAUCAGCAUGUAUUCCUUGACCAAAAAAACACUUGUCAAUGAGUCGUUUUGAAAUACAAUAAACUCUGCAUAUUAAUAUGAGGCACAGAAAUUUUGAGAUUUCUUGAACAUUUUGGAAAGGUUUAAAUUUCGCUUUGACUUUUUAAGAUAAAAGUCCAUUAUGGAUACUAAGAGUUGGUCAAAAAUGCCUUGUGCCAAUUUUUGAAAUGAAUGAUUCUUGCAGAAGUUUCCUCAGUGGAUGUCAAGUUUUCAUCCAGCAUGCGCCUCACAAUCUAGAGGAGCUGAUUUUGUUUGAAAAAUCGAAAAACACAAAAAUCAAGUGAUCUAGUUCAGUUGACUCAUGCAUCAAAUUCUAGAAAGCUGAGGCUUGCCUUUAAUUCAGGCCAAAAUGAUAAAAUUGAACAUAUCAAUGUUAGGUCUCUCCCUCCCCCACAAAUCUAUAGCUACGCCACUACAAAAUAUCACCAAGGUUUUUCCUGAAAUUGACGGCAAAAAAAUCAAACAAACUUGCUGAAAGUUAAGCAGCAUUGUUUUAACAUGAAACUUGAUCAAGGCAUUGUAAUUCUAAUGUCGGCCGCAGUCUGUGAUGAGCUCAAAUCACUGAUGUCUGCCUGAGCAGACUCCAAAAUCCAAAAUAGUAUUGAAUUUAAAAUUACAAAAAUAUUACAGUCUGGACUUUACUAAGUGCAGAUAGUGCUGAUGCAAUUUACAGCCAAACGGUCAACCAGCUACUGAUAAUAACAGUAUUGAUACGAAAUGCCUCUGCUCAAAACAACAUACAGGACUCAUGUCGUAGCCUGCAUUGUAAUCGAUAUGAUCUGAGCUAAACUCGGCUCAGCAGGCACAGGUUUCAUUAGUACCCACAUGAUGUGGACGGAGAACGGACUGAGGCAAGUCUAGCACAACACAAUGCUGUGCUUUAGAAUACAUGUACAUGUACAUGUACAUCCAUGUCAUGGUAGACUGUUCAUAUUCUGUUCCAAAUGACUGUACAUGUGAUCUACCCAGAGCAAAAUCUUGCAUCACUUAUGGCUGUACCAUUCAGCUUUCAAUCAUCAGCACAAGAUUACAAUGAGACCACAGUGCCAAUGCUUUAUCCCGCAUGUAAAACUUCAAAGUGAGCGAUUGAAUACAAAGAAUCUGCCAAUCUUUAGUGAUAAGUCAAACUUGAAUCUAUGCAAAAAUCCUGGCAGAGGAAAUUUCCAGUCGUGAUUUAAUUGAGCUCAGUUUGUUUCUCUGAAUUUCUGUUUGAAAGAACAUGACCAGUCAAUGUCUUGAUCAAGUCACAAAACCAAAUUAUGUGAUGUAGGAAACAAAAUGUCCCAAAAGUUCUUCAUUUCUUCAUGUACAUAUUUCAUCAUGACUAGAAAAGUCAGAAGAAAAAGGAAAAGCGAGAAAAUCCUAAAGGUAUAUUUUGAAGAGUCAAUUGCACCAGCAAGCCAAAUGUAUGUCAAAACAGUUCAUUUCAAAUUUGUAACCAAAUUCUCAGCAAUAAGUCUAAAAUAUAUUUUCGCUGGAUAUGUUUGUUUUAAACAUCAUAAGCAAAUUGUAAGGACGUUGCUGCCUGCUAGCGAUACUUGCAUUCAUGUAAGCACCAUGGACCAAAUCCCAGUGCUUAUAGUGUUCUAGCGUGAGAAGAAAUGGAGAACUUUUGGGACAUUGUUGGUAUUGCCAUAGACUGAAGACUAUCACAGCUCCAUGUCACAUGUUUUUCCAUGUCCAAACUGUCCUUACGACAGUGUAAGACUUGUCGAAAAGAAUUUAAUUUUCACGAAGACAAAGGACUCAACGACAGCAUGUACGGAAAAUGCGCAUGUGUGUAAAUGCAAUCCAUGUAAACGAACAUGUGAUAUCUUUCAAACUGUACUUUUCAAAAUGUUUAUCCUAUCUUCCGACCUGAAAUUGACGGGUAGUUGAUUGGAGAUACCAUCUCGUAACUAUGUCUAGUUUAAGUCAUGUGCAAAUAAGAUGCUUAUCGGAAAGGAUUUAUUUAUGUUCAAAGUUGAAAGAUUUUUCAUUUGAUGAAAGCAUUGAAAGCAUUUCAGAAGUAUUACAUAAAGUACCUAAAAAUAAGUAGGUGUCAUAACCAUUUUGCUUAGUUAUGUCAUGUUAUUCCCUUAAAUUGAACCAUGUAGGGAAAAAAAAAAUCUAAAAUGAGAUCAUAUAGGUAAAGAUGUGGGGAAUUUGCAUAGGUUUCAUGACGAUGUGAUGCUGUUCUUGACUAAGGUGACAAGGAACAAGUCUUACUUGUAGAUUUACAGCAACUCUUCCAUCUAGAACUUUAUUGGGAAACAUCAUUUGCGAUUAAAGUGUAGUUCCAGCAAGAAUGUUAUCUCACCAAGUUUUUGAACUUAAAAGAUCAUGAUUUUCCAAUGAGUCAUCAGCCAAGAUGUGGAUGAAAAUUGUAGAUGUUCAACAAACGACGGAUGAUUAAGUUACUCGUAAAUAGAACUUGCAAAAAGUACUUACUUUCUGCUAAUUUAAAACAGGUUUAGACAAUUAUUACGUGCAUCUCUGGGAUAUGUAACUGCUAGCACUAUAUUCAGAUAAAUGAUGAAGAGGUACAUGUGCAUGUAGGGCCUUGAUAUUUUCUGUAAACUCUAGAAAAAGACCACAAAAAUUGCCUGUUUCGGUUUUUCAAUAUUCACAAUUCUCUACGUGUAUAGAGUCAUUAGUAUAUUUUUGAAAUUGGCAUCCAUCGUACGAUAGUAUUCAGAUAAAUUUCAAAUAAAAAACUUGCAGGGAUAUUGGAAACUUAAACAUGCAGGCUAGAAAUUUUAACACUCAUUUUAAAUAUAUAAAUUACAGUCGGACUAAGAUUUAUGCAGGAAAUAGUUCUUAGAUGGUACGUAAUCUCCGUCAACCCCUUGUGAAAGAAAACGAUAGAUGAAAUGUCGGAAUAUUUCGCAUUUUGCCGUACUUUGCUGUCACGAUCGUGGCUAAUGUCAAAGACCAAGAAAUUAAAAGUACAGUGUUACUUAGGCAGGUCCUGGGAAAAUCCAAAAUUACCGAUAUUAAUGCAGACAACUGAAAAAUAGACGCUGUUGUGUUCAAUGCCUUUCUUAAUUUGGGCUCCUUGCAUGAAAUACAUUUAUGUACUAUGUGGUAAAAACCAAAAGAAAACAUAGGCUGGUUCUCUGCUAGUCAUUACAUUCUUUGAAUAGAGGAAUGGUUGGAACCAGUCCAGAAGUUUGAACAUGUUCUUUACUGGUUGGUUAUCACCGAUUGCAAAAUAGGUCUCGUUCAAAUGACGUCAUUUCCUACAGACCAUCCACAUGCAUCGGCAUUUUGAGCGUGAACUUGCGUAACGCGCAUCAGCUGCGUCGUAUUUCAAACACAUUUCGAGCAACAAGCGUGCAUGUUUGGAACAUUUUCAACAUUGCGCAAUGCGUGCUUGAUUGCGUAGAUGAAUUCUUCGCGCAACUGUUUGGCACAAGCAUUUGAGACUCAACACAUACACUGUAAAUGCUGCUUUGCCUGCGCCUAAGAGGCGAUAUAUGAAACACAACAUGCGCCAACAGGAUAACACAUGUGUACGAAAUUAGGCAGAGAACAAGUAAUCCUCUUUUGACGGUCGAAUAUGCACAAACUUGUAGCCUCUUUGUGUGACAGGAACACACUUGAACACACGUCGUCACUAAAACUUGUUACGUAUUGAAGUUUUAAAGCCAAGGCUCGGUGUAGUUAAUGCAAGGUGUCCGUUACACCGUUACUGACUUGAAAUAGAAAAAUCUAUGUCCAUCCAAUGUCAAAAGCGUCAAUGGCGUGGUUGCUUAAAGGCAAAGAACAUAGACAUAUUAGUUCAGUGCUUCUAUUUGCAAUUUUAAUUCAAUAUCUUAGAUUUUUCCCAGGACCUGCCUAGGUUUGCAUGUGAGCAUGUACAUUACCUGCCUUAUGCAGACACACCUACUCCACUGCAGCCGAUUUCACAAAACAGUGUGUAACUUGCGCCAUGCGUAGGACUUGCGCAACGAACUUGUUGUGCGGAUGCACAAUAAGCUUACGAUCAAUUUCACAAAACUUGGCAUAACUGCGCAACUUUUUAAAUAGGAUAAUAACAGCAUUUAUGAUGGCUGUUUGUGUCAGAUUGUAUCCAUUCAUGAAAAAGGCAUUGCAUCACCUCCCCCUGCCAUUUUGAAAAUAUGGCCCGUGGCGGUUUGUUCGACUUUGUUUGGAAUUGUGUGGCAACACUUUGAAAAACUGUCGCAGGUAUUUAAAAUACAUGUAGUUAUCCAUUUAUUUCAAAAACAAAGCUGCGAGUGCAAUAACUUGCUUGACAAUCACAAUUUGUAGAUAAAAUAAAUCAAUUGUAGUGUCCUACGCCACACAACUUACUUCACCUAAAAUAAAUGCAAAGUUACGCCGUAAUUUGUUGCACAAGUCGCUGAUUUAAAUGCACUAGGAAACUUUUGUUAAAUUGUAGUAACUGAAAUGUUGCGCAUUGUAGAUUCCUGCGCAAGUUUGGCAAUAAAGUGUGGCGCAAGUGGACUUACACCACUGCGUAAAGUUUGUGAAAUCAGCUGCAGUUUUGCCAUGAGAACCAUUGGGUUUAAUGAGUAACAAUGAGGAUGUAUUUUAAAAAUUGUACAGUGCAUGAAUUAUUGAAAACUUCAAUUAAACUUAGCAUGGGCGACGGGACAGGCUUCCCCCGUGUCAUAUUGGAUGUCACAGUUUCUAUGGAUGCUGACGGGCAGAUUGCUACCACAUCAUCCACCGAGUCACUGAGCAGUAUGGUUCUUCAGAAGGGCACAUCCAGGAUCAAAGAAGAAAACAAAAUGAAAUUGGAUUCUAUCGAGAAUGAAAUUCAAUCUAACCUUUGAAUCAACUCAUUGAUUCGGUAUUGUACUGAAAUUUUGGCUACCCAGAAGCAACACGUUGCCUAAACUUCUAAAGGCAAGCUGUCUGUUAGACGUGAAUUUAACAAUAAAUAAACAAAGUAUUGUGUAGAGCAAACCCAAGUUAAACUUGGAAAACAUUUUGUCAACAAUUUUGUGCCAAAGCCAUUGGCGUAUGCAAUAUAACGAACCAAAGAAUAUUUUCGAAAGGUGAUGACACAACUAAGAGCCAGAAAAGAAUGGCUAAAAAUUCUUCAGUUGAAAAUAUAAUAUUUGUUAUCAGAAUGAAUUCAAAUUCUGGAAUCUUUGCACAAGAAUCUCGUCCUACAAUUUAUGGAGCUUGAAAAUCUUUGCUCCUCUCAAUAUUUGUUGGAAACAUUGAAGUGUGGUUCAUGUACAUGUACAUGUACAUGUACAUGUACAUGUACAUGCAUGUACAUGUUCAUGCAUGUACAUGUACAUGCAAUGUUCAUGUACAUGUACAUGCAUGUACAUGUACAUGCAAGGCAUCUUCUAACAGCCUUGACUGAAAAUUACACCGAAAAUACUCCAUGAAAAUAAGUAAGGAAAUAUCUUGCGAAUUAUUAACUACUUAAUCUUUUAGGAAAGUUGUGUGCUACCAAAAGCCUUGUUUACUGUAAUGCUUGCACGAUAGUCUGUAAAAUUUCCAUUUGGAACUACCUGUACAUCAAUACAGGUUAACUUGGUGAAUGUUCAGCACAAUAUUUUUGCAGCUGAAAGUAUGUAAAAUUAAACUUGUCCUUUUCUGCAAAGGAAAACAUUGAGCAUUAUACGUGUGGUAUCAUCUACCGUAUGUCAGUAACAAAUGUACGAUUUGUUCGUUAGACGUACAUGUUAAAUGUAAAAACAACUACUGUAAAAACAGCCUAACAAUUAGAGUUAAAACUGUGGAAAGUUACCGAAGUAAUUUGUGGCCAUUACGAUUGAUUAAAUAUUAUCCGACACUGGAAAUAUCCAAGAAAAUCUUCAUGACAAGGAAACUGAAUGCUGGGUAUUUUAUUUUAUUUGAUCGGAUUAAUUGGCAUGAUGUAACUGUGAACGGCUGAUAUGUUGAGAGGAACAAUAACGGAAAAGAUGCAGAGUGUCUCUUUAAUUGUCGUUCUUAGAGUAGAUGGUGGGUUACCGUGGCAACGGUCAUAACCAAAAACCCAAAGUACCAUCUGCCUUGUAGAAAACUGAACCGAUUGUCGGAGUUUAAUAGGAUCCUUAUUAUGUUGUUUUCUACUUGGGUUAUCCAUGAUUGCACAACUUGCAAGAUCUAGAGGGCGCUGUUUACACUCAUCAAUAGUUGGUCACAAGUUGGUGUGGGUAGUUGGGUGACUGCUGCUUGUUGGUGUCUGUGGGCGGGGACAUGCGUGUGCGCACCGGGGGGGCCUGUGUGUGGCUGGGCUUUUUUUUUGGUCAGGUAAAAGGUCAAGUUCAAGGUGAAGUUCAAGUUCAAGGUCAAAUAAAAAAAAAAAAUUAAAAAAAAAAAAAAAAUAAAUAUACAAGUUCAAACCAGAUGGAAAUAAAGUUCAAGCAACACCAUCUUACAAUUUUGGUUAAUAAUUGUGAUUUAUUUCAUAAACAGCGCCCUCAAUAUUUAGAAAAACCAACUUAAAAAAAAAAUCACUUUAAAUAUUAUAGAAUAGCGCCCUCAACAUUUUGAUAACUUAAAAAAAUAUAUUUGAGAAACAGUGCCCUCAAUGUUACAUUACUCACCUUGAGUAAAGAGCGCCCUCAGUGUGUUAACAUAACUUUAAAGCAGCAAAGUUGAAA
rnacentral:lncRNA from 1 species